GCUCCUAUGGGUAGCCUGGGAAAGCAUGCCACGCGAAGGGGCCUUUUGUAAAACUUUUCAGCUCAACUACCUUGCAGAAAUACUUCGAGCUUUAGUAUUCCAUUUUCUUUUCCCAAUCUAAGAUAGGUUCUUAAAUACUCAAAAUACACGAGCGCAAAAGAAUUCCAUGUAUUAAUUCAUUGGUGUUUAGAUUUUUCCCCAAAGUUUUUCUGGAAGACCGCAGUGAAAGGGUCACCUGUCUCUCAAUUCCCUUUGCCACAAGAUCGGAUCCAGCAUAGAGCAGCAGCUGUUCGCGGGCCCGGGUGAUACGCGGUGUAAAUAAGCUCGCGGCUGACUACUCGGCUCUUCUGUUGGGGGCAGAACGAAUAUAAACCUCGAUGAAUUCAGAUCCCUGAGCCUGAUGCGCCGUGAUGGCAUCCGCAGUCAUCAUGGCCUGGAAGUCGUAACAAGGUACCCGUA
rnacentral:rRNA from 1 species